rnacentral:rRNA from 1 species
AUUGAACGCUGGCGGCAUGCCUUACACAUGCAAGUCGAACGGCAGCGGACCUUCGGGUGCCGGCGAGUGGCGAACGGGUGAGUAAAGUAUCGGAACGUACCUUUCAGUGGGGGAUAACGUAGCGAAAGUUACGCUAAUACCGCAUAUUCUCUGAGGAGGAAAGCAGGGGACCUUCGGGCCUUGUGCUGAUAGAGCGGCCGAUAUCAGAUUAGCUAGUUGGUGAGGUAAAGGCUCACCAAGGCGACGAUCUGUAGCGGGUCUGAGAGGAUGAUCCGCCACACUGGAACUGAGACACGGUCCAGACUCCUACGGGAGGCAGCAGUGGGGAAUUUUGGACAAUGGGGGCAACCCUGAUCCAGCCAUGCCGCGUGAGUGAAGAAGGCCUUCGGGUUGUAAAGCUCUUUCGGCCGGGAAGAAAUCGCGCAGGCUAAUACCCUGUGUGGAUGACGGUACCGGAAUAAGAAGCACCGGCUAACUACGUGCCAGCCGCCGCCGUAAAAC